rnacentral:rRNA from 1 species
AAUGAACGCUGGCGGCAGGCCUAACACAUGCAAGUCGAACGGCAGCACAGUUGGUUCUUGCUGUUACCGAUUGCGAGUGGCGGGCGGGUUAUUUAUACAUCGGACUUUACUUGUUCGUUGGGGCUAACAUAGCGGGACUUACGCUAAUUCCGCUUUCUGCCUACAGGUGAAAGCACUUCGUCUUCCGCCCUUGCGCGAUUGUAUAAGCCGAUUUCGGAUUUGAUAGUUGGCGGGGUAAAGGCCGACCAAGCCGACGAUCUGUAGUUGGUCUGAGAGGAGGACCAGCCACACUGGAACUGAGACACGGUCCAGACUCCUACGGGAGGCAGCAGUGGGGAAUAUUGGACAAUGGGCGAAAGCCUGAUCCAGCAAUGCCGCGUGGGUGAAGAAGGCCUUCGGGUUGUAAAGCACUUUUGUUGGGAAAGAAAAGCAGGAGGCUAAUACUCGGGUGGUAUGACGGUACCGGAAGAAUAAGCACCGGCUAACUUCGUG